AGCGAACGCUGGCGGCAGGCCUAACACAUGCAAGUCGAACGGACCCUUCGGGGUUAGUGGCGGACGGGUGAGUAACACGUGGGAACGUGCCUUUAGGUUCGGAAUAGCUCCUGGAAACGGGUGGUAAUGCCGAAUGUGCCCUUCAGGGGAAAGAUUUAUCGCCUUUAGAGCGGCCCGCGUCUGAUUAGCUAGUUGGUGAGGUAAUGGCUCACCAAGGCGACGAUCAGUAGCUGGUCUGAGAGGAUGACCAGCCACACUGGGACUGAGACACGGCCCAGACUCCUACGGGAGGCAGCAGUGGGGAAUCUUGCGCAAUGGGCGAAAGCCUGACGCAGCCAUGCCGCGUGAAUGAUGAAGGUCUUAGGAUUGUAAAAUUCUUUCACCGGGGACGAUAAUGACGGUACCCGGAGAGGAAGCCCCGGCUAACUUCGUGCCAGCAGCCGCAGUAACAC
rnacentral:rRNA from 1 species